rnacentral:rRNA from 1 species
CGCGUAGGCGGUUCAGCAAGCGGUGUGUGAAAUCCCGAAGCUCAACUUCGGAACUGCACACCGAACUGCUGUGCUUGAGGACGGGAGGGGCAUGUGGAACUCUAGGUGUAGCGGUGAAAUGCGUAGAUAUCUAGAGGAACGCCGGUGGCGAAAGCGACAUGCUGGCCCGUAUCUGACGCUGAGGCGCGAAAGCGUGGGUAGCAAACA